GGAAGGCAGACCCAGGGAACUGAAACAUCUAAGUACCUGGAGGAAGAGAAAGAAAAAUCGAUUUCCUGAGUAGCGGCGAGCGAAACGGAAAGAGCCCAAACCAAGAAGCUUGCUUCUUGGGGUUGUAGGACACUCUAUACGGAGUUACAAAAGAAAGUUAUAAAUGAAGCGGUCUGGAAAGGCCCGCCAAAGACGGUAACAGCCCGGUAGUUGAAAUGGCUUUCCCUCCAGAGUGGAUCCUGAGUACGGCGGAACACGUGAAAUUCCGUCGGAAUCCGGGAGGACCAUCUCCCAAGGCUAAAUACUCCCUAGUGACCGAUAGUGAACCAGUACCGUGAGGGAAAGGUGAAAAGCACCCCGGAAGGGGAGUGAAACAGUUCCUGAAACCGUGUGCCUACAAGUAGUUAGAGCCCGUUAAUGGGUGAUAGCGUGCCUUUUGUAGAAUGAACCGGCGAGUUACGAUUUGUUGCAAGGUUAAGCGGAAAAAGCGGAGCCGUAGCGAAAGCGAGUCUGAAUAGGGCGCAUAAGUAACAGGUCGUAGACCCGAAACCAGGUGAUCUACCCAUGUCCAGGAUGAAGGUAAGGUAAUACUUACUGGAGGUCCGAACCCACGCACGUUGAAAAGUGCGGGGAUGAGGUGUGGGUAGCGGAGAAAUUCCAAUCGAACUUGGAGAUAGCUGGUUCUCUCCGAAAUAGCUUUAGGGCUAGCCUCGAGGUAAAGAGUCAUGGAGGUAGAGCACUGUUUGGACUAGGGGCCCUUCUCGGGUUACCGAAUUCAGAUAAACUCCGAAUGCCAUGUACUUAUACUCGGGAGUCAGACUGCGAGUGAUAAGAUCCGUAGUCGAAAGGGAAACAGCCCAGACCACCAGUUAAGGUCCCCAAAUAUAUGUUAAGUGGAAAAGGAUGUGGGGUUGCUUAGACAACCAGGAUGUUGGCUUAGAAGCAGCCACCAUUGAAAGAGUGCGUAAUAGCUCACUGGUCGAGUGACCCCGCGCCGAAAAUGUACCGGGGCUAAACAUAUUACCGAAACUGUGGAUGAACCUCUU
rnacentral:rRNA from 1 species